UACGGAGGGUGCAAGCGUUAAUCGGAAUUACUGGGCGUAAAGCGCGCGUAGGCGGCUAAGUCAGUCGGAUGUGAAAUCCCUGGGCUCAACCUGGGAACUGCAUACGAUACUGCUUGGCUAGAGUGUGGGAGAGGGUGGUGGAAUUCCCGGUGUAGCGGUGAAAUGCGUAGAUAUCGGGAGGAACAUCAGUGGCGAAGGCGACCGCCUGGCCCAACACUGACGCUGAGGUGCGAAAGCGUGGGUAGCAAACAGG
rnacentral:rRNA from 1 species